rnacentral:rRNA from 1 species
UACGGGGGGGGCAAGCGUUGUUCGGAAUUACUGGGCGUAAAGGGCGCGUAGGCGGUUGGAUAAGUCAGCUGUGAAAACCACGGGCUUAACUCGUGGCCUGCAGUUGAGACUGUCUGGCUUGAGUGUGGGAGAGGAGAGUGGAAUUCCUGGUGUAGCGGUGAAAUGCGUAGAUAUCAGGAGGAACACCGGUGGCGAAGGCGGCUCUCUGGACCACAACUGACGCUGAGGCGCGAAAGCGUGGGUAGCAAACAGG